UAUAAAUGGUUUUAUUCUUUGCAAUAACAUAAGGUUGUAUUUUUUAAAUAGGACUUAUAGUAGUUAUAGUUGGCUACGCCUUUUUCGAAAAGCUUAUUUUUUUCUGAUCUGAAGAAUAUACAGGCUGUCUCAAAAUAAUUGACGCCUGUGCAUUUAGGAUUUGUUUCAGGAAACUAAAACAAAUCGAAAGUUAAGAGUGAAAAAUUGUUCUAUUGGACUUCGUUAUCGAGCUAUUCAUAAAAAACUAAAAUUUAAAAUCUUAACAUUAAAUUUUAUUAAAAGCGACAUUACCAUAUUUGUUGUCACAAAAUAUGCUACAAUCCGAUUUGGAAACUUUUCCAUAUAUGCCCCAGCCACAGCAGAGGUCCGUAAAGUUGGCCCCACAAAUUAAAAUUUUCAUAAUUACGAAUACAUUUAAUUAAAGUGCUCUGCAAGUGCUGGCGAAUGCUGUAAAUUAAAUAAAAAAUGCUACGUAAAUAAAUAAGAAAAAUCAAGUAUAUAUUGGGGGGCCAACUUAACGAUAGCCCCACAAAAUGUGAAAUUUUAAAAUCCAACUGCAUUUCUAGAAAGUGCUCGACAAGUGCUGAAAGAUGCUGUGUAAUAUUUAGAAAAUGCUGUGAAAAUAACCCCAAAAAUGAAGGUCGUAAAUGUGGGGUCAACUAAACGGUAGCCCCACAAAAUGUUAAACUGUAAAAUCUAACUGCAUUUCUAGAAAGUGCUGGACAAGUGCUGAAAGAUGCUGUAUAAUAUUUAGAAAAUGCUGCAAAAAUAACCCCAAAAAUGGGGGUCACAUAUAUAGUGGGCGGGGCCAACUAAACAGUAUUACCGUAGUACUUUUUUUCUGAAAGUACUUGACAAGUGCUGCAAGAUGCUGUACCUAUAAUAUUUAAAUAAUGCACUGAAAGCAAUCUCAAGACCAGGCAUCGUAUGUACAGUCCGGGACAUUUCUAUUUGGACAUAAAAAAUUUGAAUUUUCUGACAUUUAUACGUGUAUUCAGCGUCUGUGUGAACAAAAAAUGUUCUCUCUCUCAUUCUAUGGUCCUUGAGCUUUAAUAACAGGGACAUUUUUUAAAUUGGUAGCAUUAGAAAAUGACAGUAAACAGCUGACUGAUGUAAACAAUAACACAAUAACAAAGGAAAUGUUAUAAUUUUAAUCUAUAUAACCAGUGGCUGCUUUAAAAGUGUGUACUAACGGGAUAAUAACAUAUUUACGCAAGUAUUUUUGAAGGUAGAAACAUUACUUGUCAUAUAACAACUACUCAGAUUAUAUGAUGAGACGGGAAUGGCACAAUACAGAAUUGCAGUCAGUGAUUGUGAUGGAGAAAGCUGCUGUGAAGUACUGACAGUACUGACUAUCGCUGGUUGUACGAUUUGUGCAAUUUGUGAUAUAUUUUGUGUGAAAAACUGGAAAAGAAAGUGCAUCACUGCAUAACCUCACUUAUCGCAGUUUUGCACAUUUUGAUGAUGGGAAUUGCGGUUCAAGUAAUUAUGAGUUAUAGAUGGAGAGCCCUGUUUACUUCAAACUGAAGCCUUUUGGGUCCACUUUGUUCCUGGCAGCCACUCUUGUUUCAAGCAGAGUGGGUGUAAAGUUAAAAAUAAUCCCGUAAAAUUGUUAAUAUAACUCCUUUGCACUGGCAUGGGGUAUUUGAAAACUUACGUUUAACAAAUACGUCACAAAGUCUCAGCCAUCGUCGAAAAACAUAAUAAGGGCUUUAUAACAAGAAGCGCUUUCUGAUUUUACUGUGGACGUGUGGAAGAAUAGUGUGAAAUAUUGCGAAAAACCAACUUUUACUCUUGUUUACAUUUUUGUACGUCUCUAUCUGAGAGUAGUCUCUUGUAUAAAAAAUAUAGCCUACUAAUAAAGGAAAUUAAAGUGU